rnacentral:tRNA from 1 species
GCGGAGUAGAGCAGUGGUCAGCUCACCAGUCUCAUAAGCUGGAGGUCGUUGGUUCGAAUCCAACCUCACGCA